CGCCAUGGCGGCCGCGGGAAUUCGAUUAGAGUUUGAUCCUGGCUCAGAGCGAACGCUGGCGGCAGGCUUAACACAUGCAAGUCGAGCGCCUGUAGCAAUACAGGAGCGGCAGACGGGAGAGUAACACGUGGGAACAUACCUUUUGGUUCGGAACAACUGAGGGAAACUUCAGCUAAUACCGGAUAAGCCCUUACGGGGAAAGAUUUAUCGCCGAAAGAUUGGCCCGCGUCUGAUUAGCUAGUUGGUGAGGUAAUGGCUCACCAAGGCGACGAUCAGUAGCUGGUCUGAGAGGAUGAUCAGCCUCAUUGGGACUGAGACACGGCCCAAACUCCUACGGGAGGCAGCAGUGGGGAAUAUUGGACAAUGGGCGCAAGCCUGAUCCAGCCAUGCCGCGUGAGUGAUGAAGGCCUUAGGGUUGUAAAGCUCUUUUAACGGGGAAGAUAAUGACGGUACCCGUAGAAUAAGCCCCGGCUAACUUCGUGCCAGCAGCCGCGGUAAUACGAAUCACUAGUGAAUUCGCGGCCGCCUGCAGGUCGACCAUAUGGGAGAGCUCCCAACGCGUUGGAUG
rnacentral:rRNA from 1 species